GUUUGCUCAGUUGGUAGAGCAUGGUACUUUUAAUUUCAGGGUCAUGGGUUCAAGCCUCAUAUGAAGCU